AAAAAUUGUAUCAUAAAUAAUCCAGAGUAGUAUUAGUUAAGGUCUUGAAACUCAAAAAAUUUGGCGGUAUUUUAGUCUAUUUAGAGGAACCUGUAGUAUAAUCGAUAAUCCACGAUGGACCUCACUUAAUUUUGUUUUUCAGUUUGUAUAUCGCUGUUAUUUGAAGAUUUUAUAAGAAUAUUAAUUUUCAUGAUUUUUAAUUAAAAAAUAUAUCAGGUCAAGGUGCAGCUUAUGAUUAAGAAUUUAUGGGUUACAAUAAAAUUAUUUAUACGGAUAAAAAUAUGAAAUUAUUUUUUGAAGGUGGAUUUAAUAGUAAAUUUUUAAAGAUAAAAGAAUUGAUU
rnacentral:rRNA from 1 species